AUUGGUGCUUGCACUGAUUAUUUUAGUGGCAAACGGGUGAGUAAUACAUGGGAAUCUACCUUGCAGUACGGAAUAACUAUUGGAAACAAGAGCUAAUACCGUAUAUUGCCGAGAGGUGAAAGAUUUAUCGCUACAAGAUGAGCCCAUGCAAGAUUAGCUAGUUGGUGAGGUAACGGCUCACCAAGGCGACGAUCCAUAGCUGGUCUGAGAGGAUGAUCAGCCACACUGGGACUGAGACACGGCCCAG
rnacentral:rRNA from 1 species